GGUUAACGCUGGCGGCGUGCCUAACACAUGCAAGUCGAGCGAGGGCUUGUCUUCCGCAAGGGAGGCGAGUACCGAGCGGCAAACGGGUGAGUAACACGUGGGCAACCUGUCCUUUCGUGGGGGAUAACACCGAGAAAUCGGUGCUAAUACCGCAUGUCAUCGCUGGGGGCAUCUUCGGCGAGAAAAGCAGAGAUGCGCGAGAGGGUGGGCCCGCGGCCUAUCAGCUAGUCGGUGGGGUGACGGCCUACCGAGGCAUUGACGGGUAGCUGGUCUGAGAGGACGACCAGCCACACGGGGACUGAGACACGGCCCCGACUCCUACGGGAGGCAGCAGUGAGGAAUCUUCCGCAAUGGGCGAAAGCCUGACGGAGCGACGCCGCGUGAGGGAUGAAGUCUCUCGGGAUGUAAACCACUGUCGGAGGGGAAGAGAAAGGACGGUACCCUCCAAGAAAGCCCCGGCUAACUACGUGCCAGCCGCCGCAGUAACAC
rnacentral:rRNA from 1 species